rnacentral:tRNA from 1 species
ACUAUUUUGACAGAUUAAUGUAUUGAAUUUAGAAUUCAUUUAUGUAGAUAUAUCUACAAAUAGUA